GUGUACCGAGCAUAUCACCUCCACAGAGCAAGUGCCUUUACUUGAGCAGUGGAGGGAGUGGGGAGAGGAGGCUGGCAGCAUAGGGAAGAGAGAAAUCCCUCAGGAGCGUGCACCGGGGAGCAUCUACGACUUUGCAAAGAGAGCUGUAAAGUGUUCUCGGAAACGGACAGAGGUGUUGGGGGAUCAAAGUGGGCGCUGUGUCUGGAAAAGCGUGCAGAGAGCCAAUCAAACACUGGCGCUGUUGAUCCCGGUGUCCCUGGCACAGUGAAGGAGCCGGAACAGGAGAGUGAAAAGGUUGCGGGAUCUUACGAGGGGGAGAUCCUUUCACAGUCAACCGAGCCAGAUAAAUGGUGUGAGACACAAUUGACUGGAGAGAGAUUGCUCCACUUUUUUUUUUUUCAAAUUUUCCUCCUCUGAAAGCAUCAGAAGAGAAAAGACUAGAACACUGCGUGUGAGGCAUCGGCAAGUUGUAACCCAUCAGCUGUCGUGUUGGAGCUUGCAGAGCUCCCAUCAUGCUGUAUACUGUAUAAAAUCAAGAUGAAGCAUGAUGAGUGAAAGCCGAGAGAUGCUUGAUGAGGUCAGGCUGACACGGAUGGACAUUACGAUACUGGAUUUUAUACAGCUCGUCAAAGAAUUUUGGCUCAUUGGUAAUUGUAUUAAUUGAAAAGAAAAUGCAAAAUGGUACUUAUAAAGUUCAUGAUUAACUGGUGAGCCGAGAGACCAUGUUAUCUUGUACUGACUCAGCUAUUUUAAUACGAGUAUAAAUUUUAGGUGUGUGAUUCACUCAUCCUUCAAAGACACAGACACCUUUUGGAUCUAUUUAGUGGCCACAAGAAAUCCUUUAGCUCAAAUGAACCUAAUUAGACCUCUCGACUUGCCUUUCUUUAGCUACCAGCGAGUUGUUCAUUCUUGUCAUGAUGUUCAUUAGGUGAGAAGCCACAAAAAGAAUGGGCAGCUUGUACAAAUUAAUUUGAAUGCGAUAACUCAUGUCCAAAAUUGGACAUUAAAUUGAACAAAUUAAUAAAAAUUCUGCCUACUAAGGGUUAGUAUUUUCCCUAUGCCACAAGUGUCUCAUUUAGAUAAAAAUGAUGUUUCCUGUUCAUUUUGAAAUGAGCUCCAUGGUGAGAAAAUAUUGACAAAUGUGAAAAUCGUAACGUUGGCUAUCGACGUGAAUAUUAUACGUGACUUGUUCAGAUGAUGAUGAAUUGUGGCUUCAUCAUUCUCUCAUCAUGGCUUUCUGUGGCUGUGCAAAGUGCGAGGGAGGUUUUGUUGCUACACUGAUGAAACACUCAGUAAGUAGUCCUGCCACAAAUACA